CCGAUGAAGGUGUAUUGAGAAGUAUGCUGGAGGUAUCAGAAGUGCGAAUGCUGACGUGAGUAACGACAAUGCGAGUGAAAAACUCGCACGCUGAAAGACCAAGGGUUCCAGUCCAACGUUAAUCGGGGCUGGGUGAGUCGACCCCUAAGGCGAGGCCGAGAGGCGUAGUCGAUGGGAAAUUGGUUAAUAUUCCAAUACUUCUAUGUAAUGCGAUGAGAGGACGGAGAAGGUUAAGUCAGCCUGGCGUUGGUUGUCCAGGUGGAAGACAGUAGGCAUGCAUCUUAGGCAAAUCCGGGGUGCUCUAUGCUGAGAGUCGAUAGCAAGCCAGUUU
rnacentral:rRNA from 14 species